rnacentral:lncRNA from 1 species
CCGAGAGGCUCGAUUGAAGGGAAAGAAAGGCUCCGCGCCGGAGUGGAUGAUUUCUGGGCUCCAAAGGGCCACAGUUAGCCCAGAACUUCCAGCCCCGAUCUGGGAAAAGAACAUUUGAUGCCAUCAAAGGGCUGCAGAUUGAAACCAGAUGUGCUCGCCUCGCUCUUUCCAUGCAUUCAAUUAAGGAGCCAGGACGAGGAGGCUUUUUCACCGUUAGUCCGUCCACCCCCUCGCCCGCCCGCGUGCAGAUUUCAGCCGCUUCGCCGCUCCCCGCGCGGGCCAGCCCCGGGCAGCUUCUGCCCUCCCGUCCUCUCCUCCUGUCGCGACGCUCAUCAUCAGUGUUUCUUUCCUCUCUGGCCAGAAUGCCCUUCGCGACAAGGGUCUGGCCCCUGGCACCCGUUUGCCCUGAAGACCAGGGAGCCCCGUCAGUGGGGGAGGAAGUGGCCUUGUCCCUGCAGUCAGCACGGUUGGCGACGACGCGGGACCGUGACGGGGUGGGCACAGAUUAUGAAUUAUCAUUUUUAAAAGUCAGGACGACACUACAGGGAAACUCAGGACAAGACAGAGAGCAGCGCAUUUACUCCAGAAAGGACAGAAGGGCUGAAGGAGGCCUUCACAGCACGCUGGGAGCCAGCACUGCCACCAGUGUACUGGCUUUCGACUGGCAUCUGAAGGUAGCUUUCCAACCAUUCGUUCUGCCUACUCCCUUUUUAAAAAUCUCCCAUUUGGGGAUUCCUCCCCAAGAAAGUAGAAGCAAAGCUGGGACCAACAAGGAAAGUUGCCAAGAGAUGAGACCAAGGCUGGGAGGCCCAGCGCAUGAAGUUGGGUGCUGUUUUCAUUUCACUGGGCCUAUUUGCUCCUUAAAUCCCUGGAGACUGCAUGAACCAUUGAAACAGCUUUAGCUAAAGAUACAGUGACCUGCACACUGACUCGCAAUAAAUGCUCCUCAGACCUUAUUCUGCUAAAUGUCUCUGUAUAACUGAUAAUACCUGUAAUGAUCACUCUCUUUGAAAUUUCUUCUCCUAUUAACUGACCAGUUCCUUUCUGUCUUCAUUGAGGAUUUCUUUCUCUCAACUGAUGAUAUUCUCCAGGGUUCUGUCUACCAUCCUCAUUGUCCUUCAGAAUAAAUAGGUUGUUUUUAGAAGAGCUCAUAUAUAUACAUGGGUAAACGACUGCUUGUUUAUCAAUGAGUCUAAAACCUAAAUCUUAAGCUUGGUCA